rnacentral:rRNA from 1 species
CACUAGCGGGGGAGCAUGUGGUUUAAUUUGAAGCAACGGGAAGAACCUUACCUGGGCUUGACAUGCACGGGAAAGCCGCCGGAAACAUCGGUUCCUUUUCGGAGUCCCUGCACCGGUGGUGCAUGGCUGUUGUCAGCUUGUGUUGUGAGAUGUUGGGUUAAGUUCCGCAACGAGCGCAACCCUUGUCCCUAGUUACCCACGGAUCAAGCCGGGCAAUUUAGGGGGGCUGGCGGUGUCAAACCGGAAGAAAGUUGGGGAGAAGUCAAGUCCACCAGGCCCUUAAGUCCAGGGGUUCACACAUGGUACAAUGGCCGGUACAGAGGGUUGCAAAACGGCAAGGGGGAGCCAAUCGCCAAAAACCCGUUUCAGUUUGGAUUGGCGUUUGCAACUUGGCUGCCUGAAGC